ensembl:lincRNA 1700012E03Rik RIKEN cDNA 1700012E03 gene
GAAGCAGGAAGCAGAAAACACUCUCCAUUCAUCCUCAUACAGCUUGCCUACUGCCAAGUAGACAGUCAAUAAACAAGGAAAUAAUUAGUUGCACGGCUCAUUAGGAAGGGACUUAUUCCAAGAACAACAAAAAUCAAGUGGGAAGGGGAAUGAAGGCUCAGAGCAGGGGAUUACUUUCCAUCCAGGUGGCUGUGAUAGGAAUGGAGGCUGUGAGCAACUGCCAGGGGGGAAGGAACAUUCUAAGACAAUGCAGUCCCUGGUGCAACAGCCCAUGUGGCAGGACAUACCUGAAACACACGUGGCAUGGAAAGGCAGAUGUGGAAGCUGUCCCUGGUAGUGGAGCAAGGUGUCCAAGCCACCCAGCUAGCAGGCAGUAGAACUCAUACCUGCCUUGUCCUGAGAGGUCUUCCUGUUGGAAGCAUUGUCAAGGCUCAUCAAGUGCACUGAAACUGAGGGAAGGUCUGUCAGGCUGGGAACCCAGGACACAGUCAAGGAUGUAAGCUGGGACUCUGAGGUCUGUCUCCGAGUUCUGUGUGUCUUGCAGCAACCACAUUCCUGUUUCUCCCAUGUGCUAUUCUGCUGGACAUUUUUCUCUUUGAUUUGAUGGCUAUACAAUUAAUCUCAUCUGACAGGUGAGGAGGGGUCUCCCCUACCAUGGUCCCCAAGCUUCCUGGAGAGUAAAUAUUGAUUUUGGGAACUGGGGUGGAGGGCAGAUUCACUUGUGAAUCGAUUCUGAGUCAAACCACAUCUUGAGUGGCAUCCUGCGAUGAAGGAUGGUACCUUGUCCUUUUGGCUGGCACACUGAAUAUGAGAGGAGGUGGGGGCUCUCCACAGACCACCAGAAAAAAGUUAGGAGCUCCACACAGCAUCCUUGAUGAACGAAUGCUGGGCCUACCCUGGAAUGAGGUUGUCUGAUGAAGGGACUGUUGGCAGACCCUUCUGAGUAACAGGCACAGGGUUUGGCUCUGUGAGGACUGUCUGAGAGGCUUCAGUCAGCUGAGCCCUGUGCCCUGCACUGGAGCACAAGUCGUCUUAUACACCCAGUCUGCUUAGGAAAGAAGCUAUGUGUCUCCAGUAGUCACGUGGGUCCAAGCUGCCUGUUUUCUGUUCUGGAGGCCAGUCUUCAGCUUCCCUGGAAAGACUAGGGUGUCCUUACCUGGAUGGCUUGUUUCAGUAGUACCAUCACUAAAUGGCUCUCAAGGAGACUUGCAUGUCCCAGGAAUGGAGGACAAAGAGACAAGAGCCCAAACACACCUUAGGGUGAAAUGAAGUCUCACUGCUAUAGCAACUUCAAACUGCAGCUCAGACCUAAAGCUGAGAUGCCUGGCUUAUUGAACAGAUGCUGAGCCAUUCCACUGAUAAAAAGCUCAAGUAUAU